rnacentral:lncRNA from 8 species
GUUUCUGAGGAGAAGCACCACAGCAUAGUGCCGGACCUGCAGAUGGGUCUUCAGAGUGCCAGGGAGAAAGUGGAGAUUCUGCAGGAUGCACUGGACAAGACUGAGUCUGGGCAUGUGAGAGGUGGGGAAGCUUCAACAGAAACUGAACAGAGCUACAAAGAAAUUGUCUUCAACAGAGCAAGAGCAGCACAGCCAGAGUGAGUGAAUAAUGUUGAAGAUUAUAUCAGAUGUUUCCCUUUCACUGUAUAAUCCUGGUUUCAUGUUGGCUUUGUUAGUUGUUGCCUUGAACACUCAAUUGCUGGAGGAGCAGUCAAAGGCAAACAAGGAGCUUGAGAGAUCCGUUAGAUAUGAGAAAGAGCUGCAAGACACUAUCAAGGAUCUCAGAAAGAAGCUGAGAACACAAAUUGAGGAGAGGGAGUUUGCCCUGAAUAGCCUGAGGAUGCGUCAGAAGGACCUGGCAGAUGUACAGCGCCACCUAAAGGCAGACCUUCUGAGGUGCAGACUGGUCUGUGGCCUGGAGAAGGGACUGCAGUACUUCACCCCCCACAUGGGUGGCCUGAAGGAGGGGUUCUUCAACCUGAGAACCAACCUGCACUCUGUCCUGGAGAAGGAGGCUGGGAGAGAUGACCAGAGGAGGCAAGACUGGAUGCAGGUGUUAGACAAGAGCAAGGAAUAGGAGAAAAAGGCAGAAAAACUGGUGAGACUCAUCCUUUUGUUUUAUUGUAAAUCAUGUACAAUUGAUGACCAGUACACAUUGGUAUAUUUUGCUCACGGCACUGUUACUCAGACUAAAAAUGAUCAAUGUUCAAUGUAUUGCUACUAGUCUUGUUAGGCUCCCUUAGCUGCAGUAGACCGUUCUCAUGAAGAAGCACAGCUGAGGUUUCACAAAACACAAGCAACAGAGCAUUUAUGCAUCAUUAUUACAAUAGACUGAGUUGUUGGCUUUAUGUUCCUCUUUUCUGCAGUUGGACAGUUUAGAUUCUCUGCAGAGUCACUAGCUGCUGGAAGAAGAAGGUGAUGAGAGGGACCAAUAUAGAGCAGUAGCAUGGAGAAGUGGAGCAUCACCCUCCCCUCAUUCCCCUUCUGCUGUGACGAUGCCUCAGAGGAACCUCUCUACGAGACCUGCUUCUCCAUAUCCCAAUGGAUAAUCUAAUCAGCAUCUUGGCAUAGAUUUCAUAAUUUAGCCCAGAUCUUUUAUUUUCAUGUAUGUAUUGUUUUGUGUUCUUUUAUUCACAGGCAAUAUGUAGGCUGGGAGAAAAAGCUUGGGCCUAGUGCCCAUUGUGGGUUGAAGGAUUCUGAAGGCAUGCAGCAUUUACUAACAGUCCAAAAAAGACUGAAGAACCUCCAGUCAGGUAAAAAGCAAUCAUGUAAAGCUAUCACAAAGAAAAUAGUACGUAGAUGUCCAUUGACCAUCUUUGUAGAAAGGCCCUGAAAAACAAUGGAACUUUUUAAUAGGACAACAUUUCACCAAAUUAUAAAAGAGACUAUUGAGUUACAAAUAGGAAUAUUUUACUAAUUGUAUGGCAUCAUAUCCUGUUGUUGUUUUGCUUUCUGCCUUUGACACAAUCAAAGCUUAGAGCCUUCAUUAUGACAGAAGUAGGCCAAUAUUUCCCCUUUCUUGUUCUGUUUUUUGUUCGACCAAAUUAUUUGAUUAAUAAUGUUAGACUAGCUAUGAACUGAACUCUUCACUAAAUUGUAAGUUAUG